CCUACGGGAGGCAGCAGUGGGGAAUAUUGCGCAAUGGGCGGAAGCCUGACGCAGCGACGCCGCGUGAGGGAUGACGGCCUUCGGGUUGUAAACCUCUUUCAGCUCUGACGAAGCGUGAGUGACGGUAGGAGCAGAAGAAGCACCGGCCAACUACGUGCCAGCAGCCGCGGUAAUACGUAGGGUGCAAGCGUUGUCCGGAAUUAUUGGGCGUAAAGAGCUCGUAGGCGGUUUGUCGCGUCGAAUGUGAAAACCCGGGGCUCAACCCCGGGCCUGCAUUCGAUACGGGCAGACUAGAGUUCGGUAGGGGAGUCUGGAAUUCCUGGUGUAGCGGUGAAAUGCGCAGAUAUCAGGAGGAACACCGGUGGCGAAGGCGGGACUCUGGGCCGAUACUGACGCUGAGGAGCGAAAGCGUGGGGAGCGAACAGGAUUAGAUACCCUGGUAGUCCACGCCGUAAACGUUGGGCGCUAGGUGUGGGGUUCCUUCCACGAACUCCGUGCCGCAGCUAACGCAUUAAGCGCCCCGCCUGGGGAGUACGGCCGCAAGGCUAAAACUCAAAUGAAUUGACGG
rnacentral:rRNA from 1 species